rnacentral:rRNA from 1 species
AGGGAAUAUUGGACAAUGGGGGCAACCCUGAUCCAGCCAUGCCGCGUGAGUGAAGAAGGCCCUCGGGUUGUAAAGCUCUUUUGUCCGGAAAGAAAAGCAUUCGGUGAAUACCCGGAUGUUCUGACGGUACCGGAAGAAUAAGCACAGGCUAACUUCGUGCCAGCAGCCGCGGUAAUACGAAGGGUGCAAGCGUUACUCGGCAUUACUGGGCGUAAAGCGUGCGUAGGUGGUUGUUUAAGUCUGAUGUGAAAGCCCUGGGCUCAACCUGGGUAUGGCAUUGGAAACUGGGCAGCUAGAGUGCGGUAGAGUGUAGUGGAAUUCCCGGUGUAGCAGUGAAAGGCGUAGAGAUCGGGAGGAACAUCUGUGGCGAAGGCGACUGCCUGGACCAGCACUGACACUGAGGCACGAAAGCGUGGGGAGCAAACA